CCCAGACAUCAAAUAAAUAGAGUCAAAGCUUCGCUUUUCAUCUGCGGGCAGACAAGGGCGGGCCCCACCUCUGCGAGUUCCCACUGGCGGAGCUCAAAGGGAUGCUGGGUGUGGCAGAUUCCUGGCGUGGUGGCUGGUAAAGGGAGGUGGCAAUGCCCAGCCAUUCAGAGGCUCCUGAGCACUCGGGGCAGAGAAGAAGAUCUGGCUUCCUGGGCAUCAGGAAUGCAAGGAGCAAGUCUUUCCCUGGACUAUGGAGCCCGGGCCUUCCUUCUCUCCUCACCCAGGGGUGGAAUCUGAGGUGAAGGUCACACAGCAAACAAGAAUGAGGCCAGGAGCUCAAAGCAAAGUGGUGCAGACAAUAAUUAGAUGCUCUGGUCUGGUUACAGAUGAACAGUUUGAGGAAAAUCCAGGCUUGAUUGGAGUGAUCAUUAAAUCAGCUGCCCUGGGGAUUUCGGAGCAGGCCCCGUGCCCGGAGCCCCAGCCUGGCCGGGACCCCCUGGCCCUGCUACCUCUCAGCCAUCCCUUCCUCAGGGGGGGAGAGGGUGUCACAGAAGUCAGUGACCUUCCCAGGGCCCUUCUAAGACAGACACCACAGCUCACGGGCCUCCCUCCUGAGCUGGCCUGAAGCCCACCAAGGGAGGCUGCAAAAAGCCAUCUUCCUCUAACCUUUUGUCUGGGCCUCCUUCCUUUGUCCCAUCACUCGUGCUCUACCUGGUACUUCUGACGUUGGUGUGAAUGUCACAGGACCGACGCCCUCCCCCAGCCAGGCCAACGGGAGCCUGGAUGGCCAGCCCUUGUCUCUUUCUGGCCCUGUGUCCCUAGCUCCAAGCACAGCGGGACCACGCUGCUCGUUGGCCACCAGAACCCUUCAGGUCGGGCUGCCCCUCAGUUCAGGUUGGUCCAGGCUUCUCCAGACAUCACCAAUGGGGCAGAGUGCCCCUGGCCUCCACACUAAUGGGGGUGCUUGUGGCCAAAGAAGCUCGAGGCCCCGCUCUGCCACCCUUCACCCUCCCUUCACCCUCAAUCUCCCCCUCCAAGCUCUGAUACCCCUUCCUUCUAUGGACAGGAAUAACAACGAUGCUAAGCCACAUUUAUGCAGCGUUCAAAGGUUUAUCAAGUGUUUUCCAGCCUGUGUGAAUCCAUCUGGAAAGUGGGCCUGGGGUCGAAAGAGAAAACCCCAGCACUGCCCCCCUCCCUCCAGCCAGAGCCUGGGCCGCAUGAAAGCCCCCCCCCGGCUGGCCAGGCAGUGGGGGGGCAGGUGGUUACAAAGCAUGUUGGCAUCUCUAAGCUACAAAUAAUUCAAGCAAUAAACAGCCCCGCGGGUUGCUUUUGGCUUGGUGCCUCCUCGGCAGGACGGGGGAGGAAGCAAGCUGCCUUGGCGUGGGACAGGCUCUGUGUCUCAGGGAACAAUGCUCUCUCCCCUUUCUUUCCCUCUCACAUACCCACAUAUCCACAGACCCACACACCAGGGUGGGGGAUGGGAGGAGAAGAGAGUAGCCUGAAUUCAAGUGUUGGGGAGAUCGGGGUACAAUGGGGAAAGAAAGGCACUACCAGAGGAUGACAAGCAGUGUGGUGGUUUGGGGGGAGGGUUACCCCGCCAUGGAGAUGGGCUGGGAAGAAGGCCCAGCUGGUGAAUGCUCCUGGCUUCCAGCCGGCCAGGAGCGGCCUCCCUUGGCCACCAGCUAUUCCUUCCGGCUAUUUAACUCAGCCCCGCCCCCCCACUUGGCCGC